UUGGAGCUGUGCCUGGCCCCGCAUCAAGCAGUCCUACUUAGCGGUUCUGCAUGGCUUGCAAACAAAGUGGGUUUGGUAACAAAGAAGCCCACGGCACCACACGGAAAAGCAGAGAGCCUUUAAAUUUCCCAGAACGGGAGCCUCUCACCAGACUGAAGUAGCCACCAGGAUUUUCAAUUAAUCUUGGAAUGGUCGCUGGAGGCAAGAAGCCAGCGGCGCCUAAAGGAAUGAGAAAGUGCAAACUGAUCCAGAGGAAACAAAGGGCAGCGAGGGACCCCACAGCUGAGGCAGACGACACUGUGAGCGGCUCUGUCGGGAGGCUGGCGAGGCGUGCGCGCGCGGGUCUCUGCCUUAGCACCAUCUGCCGAUUCCUCAAGAGGACACAGAACAGACCAGCGAGCCAUGAAGAUUCGAUUAUGUAACGCGGGAGGAUUGCUUGUUUUCAAAAGGGAGACAAAUGGGAACGAAUUGAUUUGUUUGUCAAAGUCAUGGCCCCAAAGGAGACCAGUCCCCUCCUCUUCCUGGAGGAUUCAUCAAGGAAGGGGAGUGAUUUCACAGGCUCAGAAAAAAGGAGCCCAGGACUCACAGAGUCAGCUCAGAUGGUAACAGCAGCUCCUGGGCCGCAACGCGGUGAGCCACGUGGUAGAAGAAAAGAACCAACUUCAGCUAACAGUCCUCUGACCUCCAUAAGGGCACAUACCCACCCGCCGCGAAAUAAAUCCAUGCAAAACCAUAAUUCACUCCAUUCAUAAAAACGAGUCUAUUUCCAAAAUUGUGCUGGCAAACCUUUCUGGCUUCUCUGCUUGAGAAAUGACCAUUCCGCCGGUACCCAAAGGGCACAGCCAUAGAAUGGAACAUAAUUGGCACCCCCAACCCCAGCUUCAGAACCUGCCUGCUCUGUCUGACCUCUCUCGCUUGCUUUUAGGGAAGUAACAUCUGAUCUCAGAACCAGUGGGGGUCAUCUUACUAUUUCUAUUCUGAACUCUAGAAAGUGCUUUAGAGGCUAGGGGAUCUCUCUCUCUCUCUCUCUCUCUCUCUCUGUGUGUGUGUGUGUGUGUGUGUGUGUGUGUGUGUGUGUUAGUGUGUGUUAGUUGGUCCUUCCCUUCUACCAUGUGUCAGGGCACCAGCAACCAAACUCUGGUCAGCAAUAGCUAUCACCUAUGGCGACAUCUUGGUACCCUCUCACUUUCCUAUUCUUCUUCAUACUAUUCUGUCCUCGGUUUUGCUCCCUUGCCCUCCCUCGCCCUCCGGCUCUUGGGAGCAGCAGAAGACAGAGCAGAGGAUAAAGGUAGUGGUUCAGUAUCCCCAGCUCCUUCCCUGCCUCGGGUUGGCAGAGUCUUUGGAUAGAAGGUUGCCCCCUCUUCAAAGGAGCCUGGCCACUCGGGAGGCAGAGGCAGGCAGAUUUCUGAGUUCGAGGCUAGCCUGGUGUACAGAGUGAGUACCAGGACAGCCAGGGCUACACAGAGAAACCCUGUCUCGAAAGAAAGAAAGAAAGAAAGAAAGAAAGAAAGAAAGAAAGAAAGAAAGAAAGAAAGAAAGAAAGAAAGGAAGGAAGGAAGGAAGGAAGGAAGAAAGAAAGAAAGAAAGAAAGAAAGAAAGAAAGAAAGAAAGAAAGAAAGAAAGAAAGAAAGAAAGAAAGAAAGAAAAGAGCCUGGCUCCCAGAAUCCUCCCUUUCUGGGUUCUGUAACUUCCUCCUCCGCUGUCACAUCUUCGAGCGGUGGCAGGCUCUUUCUACCUCCUUGAACAUUGUAUCAAUCAUACGGUUUCCUUGUGCCCUCCCAAAACCUUGUAAAUCGUCCCUUUAUUAAAUCCUCCUCUGAUAGUCUA
rnacentral:lncRNA from 1 species